rnacentral:lncRNA from 1 species
AGCGUUCACGUUAGGGUCACACAAUCAAUUACCUCCUGAAUGUAUCGUCUCUAUUUCCAAUAUUUGAACACACAAGGAAACUAUAAUCUUCUUCUUCACCUUAUUGGUCUCUUCCUUAUAGUAAUUCAAUUAUAUCAAUAACUGCUAUUUCCACCAAUAUAUUCACCCUCAUAAUCUCCAACUGUAAUACUACGCCCUCACAGCUUUCAACAUACAAUUAUCCUCAUUCCAAUCACUGGAAUUCUUCACACAGAACUACCAUUCACAUUACGGUAUUUCACAUAAACAUAGACUCAUUCUCUCUGCUAAACUACAAUCAGAUUUCAACAUUCAAUCUUUCUUCUUUUCAAAUAAUACGAAUCACAUUUCCAUUCCAUAAUUCACUUCACAAUAUUCAAAAACUCUCAAUCCUCUUAUUCAAAGAAAAUAACAAACAAAAGAAAAGAGGUAGCACCAAGCUUACCCUGGUUCACAACUAUCACAGUGAUGGCACCUUAAUUAAAUUCUAUAACUCCUAUAUACUUUUCCGUGAUUCUCUAGAUUCUAAUCAUAAUUUUGUAAUUAACGACUUUUAAGAACUAAAUCACUCAUCCGUCCUCCUGAAUUUCCUAUUAUAUGGACUAUUAAUAUAUUUUACCAAUAUCUUUCAAAAACGAAUUAAUAUCUAUUCUAUAUAGCCUCACUCCUAUCUGUGCAACGUCCUCACAAACACUCAAUUUAUACCUAUCUAAAAAUUAUCUAACAAAACUCUACAAAAAUUACGAUCCCUCUAGCCUAUCUAAUUAAUCAAUUGC